CGGACGUAGGGUAACCUGCCUGGUAGCGGGGGGUAACUAAUUGAAACGAUAGCUAAUACCGCAUAAGAACAUUUACUGCAUGGUAGAUGUUUAAAAGGUGCAAAUGCAUCACUACCAGAUGGACCUGCGUUGUAUUAGCUAGUAGGUGAGGUAACGGCUCACCUAGGUGACGAUACAUAGCCGACCUGAGAGGGUGAUCGGCCACACUGGGACUGAGACACGGCCCAG
rnacentral:rRNA from 1 species